GCGUCAGCAGCCGCGGUAAUACGUAGGCGGCAAGCGUUAUCCGGAAUUAUUGGGCGUAAAGCGCGCGGAGGUGGUUUCUUAAGUCUGAUGUGAAAGCCCACGGCUCAACCGUGGAGGGUCAUUGGAAACCGGGAGACUGGAGUGCAGAAGAGGAAAGUGGAAUUCCAUGUGUAGCGGUGAAAUGCGUAGAGAUAUGGAGGAACACCAGUGGCGAAGGCGACUUGCUGGUCUGUAACUGACACCGAGGCGCGAAAGCGUGGGGAGCAAACAGGA
rnacentral:rRNA from 1 species